rnacentral:rRNA from 1 species
UACGGAGGGAGCUAGCGUUAUUCGGAAUUACUGGGCGUAAAGCGCACGUAGGCGGCUUUGUAAGUAAGAGGUGAAAGCCCAGAGCUCAACUCUGGAAUUGCCUUUUAGACUGCAUCGCUUGAAUCAUGGAGAGGUCAGUGGAAUUCCGAGUGUAGAGGUGAAAAUUCGUAGAUAUCGGGGAGGAACACCAGUGGCGAAGGCGGCUCUCUGGACAGGUACUGACGCUGAGACGCGAAAAGCGUGGGUAGCAAACAGGA